rnacentral:rRNA from 1 species
AUUGAACGCUGGCGGCAGGCCUAACACAUGCAAGUCGAACGAGUGGCGGACGGGUGAGUAAUGUCUGGGAAACUGCCUGAUGGAGGGGGAUAACUACUGGAAACGGUAGCUAAUACCGCAUACCAUCAGAUGUGCCCAGAUGGGAUUAGCUAGUUGGGGGGGUAACGGCUCACCAAGGCGACGAUACCUAGCUGGUCUGGGAGGCUGACCAGCCACACGGGAACUGAGACACGGUCCAGACUCCUACGGGAGGAAGCAGUGGGGAAUAUUGCACAAUGGGCGCAAGCCGGAUACAGACAUGCCGCGUGUAUGAAGAAGGCCUUCGGGUUGUAAAGUACUUUCAGCGGGGAGGCGUUACCCGCAGAAGAAGCACCGGCUAACUCCGUGCCAGCCGCCGCGGUAAUUC